ensembl:snoRNA SNORD27 Small nucleolar RNA SNORD27
ACUCCAUGAUGAACCCAAAAUGCCAAGUAUAUGACUGAACUUAAAAGUGAUAUCAUCUUACGACUGAAAAGU